UACGUAGGGACCAAGCGUUGUUCGGAUUUACUGGGCGUAAAGGGCGCGUAGGCGGCGUGACAAGUCACUUGUGAAAUCUCCGGGCUUAACUCGGAACGGUCAAGUGAUACUGUUGUGCUAGAGUACAGAAAGGGCAAUCGGAAUUCUUGGUGUAGCGGUGAAAUGCGUAGAUAUCAAGAGGAACACCUGAGGCGAAGGCGGGUUGCUAGGCUGACACUGACGCUGAGUGCGCGAAAGCCAGGGGAGCAAACGGG
rnacentral:rRNA from 1 species